rnacentral:tRNA from 1 species
GGAGAGGUGGCCGAGUGGUUGAAGGCGCUCCCCUGCUAAGGGAGUGGGACUUAGUAUGUUCUCGUGGGUUCGAAUCCCAUCCUCUCUGCCA